AUCGCUUCUUGGCCUUUUGGCUAAGAUCAAGUGUAUUAUUUGCAUGGAAAAUCUUUUUCUAAUUCACUUUCAACCUAUU
rnacentral:snRNA from 1 species